AGCCCUGAUCCCUGUGCAGCUGCUCUGGGUGAACCUGGUGACAGACGGCCUACCUGCCACAGCCCUGGGCUUCAACCCACCAGACUUGGACAUAAUGGAGAAGCGGCCCCGGAACCCUCGCGAGGCCCUCAUCAGUGGCUGGCUCUUCUUUCGAUAUCUGGCUAUUGGAGCGUCUCGGAAAACCAGUCGCUGCUGCGGAUGCCACCCUGGCUGAACCCCUGGCUGUUGGCGGCCGUGGCCAUGUCUAUGGCCCUGCACUUCCUCAUUCUGCUUGUGCCACCUCUGCCGGUGAGUCACCACCCUGCCCGGCACCCCUUCUCCAGCUCCUGGGGUGACAGGGUCCUAAUCCUCUGACCUGGGCCUUUUGGGGCCCCUCUGGGGUGGCAACAGCCUGGGAGCUGUGGCGGGGGAGGUCUGAUGGUGCUGGCACCCUGGCCAGCCACUGUCCUCCAGAUGUGCCCCCCACUUCGGGAACCCCCUCCCGAGACCUGGGCAGCGAAAGAGGUGGGGGAAUCUCUCGAGGCUGGGCCAAGGCUGGGGAAGGACGAUGCCCUUUCCUCUCCGAGUUCCCCGCAGGGAGAGGGCGCUGGUCCUGUGGGAGAGGGGAGGGGAGGGCACCUGGGGUGGAGGGAACAGAUCUGGGGGGGACCUUAGAUGUGCUCUGGAGGAGUCCGCCGUAGCCUGGGUGUAGGAAGCGGUGGACUUGGGGGGCUCUGGACACUGCUUCCGUUAGCUCCCUCCCCCUUCCUCCCUGUCCAGCUCAUCUUCCAGGUGACCCCCCUGAGUGGACGCCAGUGGGUGGUCGUGCUCCAGAUCUCUCUGCCUGUCAUCCUGCUUGAUGAGGCCCUCAAGUACCUGUCCCGGAAGCACGUGGACGAAAAGGGCCGGCAGUGAGUGCCGGGAGCAGAGAGGGGUCUCCAGGGCGUACCUCCAAGUGACAGUGCCCGUGCACCUGCCCCACCCCACGCCGCCACCCGCUUGCCGCUUGCUCACUGGGCCCUGCUGAGGCCCCAACGGCCGCCCCCAGGCCCCAAACCCGGGUCUCUCGCCGACUCCGUCUGCCUGGGGCUCCAGGAGUCCUGUGUCUGGGGCUCUCCUGGGAAGUUCAUCCCGGAAGCUCUGGCCCGGGAGCUGCAGCCUGGGAGGGGCUGCGCAGAAGCCGGAGCAGAGCCGGAGGUGCCGAGGCCUCAUCCCCAGACCUACAAGCACAUGCUGGAGCCGCUGCCUCUUGCUUGGAGGCUGGGCAUUUACUUGUGACCACGCCUCUGCACUGACGGACGACUCUCUCUCCCAGGGCCUGGUCUGCGGCCGCUCGGCCCCUGGUGGAGGGGGGACAUCUGGGCCCAGCUGUGCGCUUCCGCAGACUCUGCUCACGAGGGCUGGGGCCUGUUGCUGUGUGUAUGUGCAGGGGGUUGAAGGCCCAGAAAGAGGGACACAGGUGUCGAGGCCGGGGGCUGAGCAAGGACCUGCUCUCCUGGAGCCAGCCUGCCUGCCCGCCUCCGCCCGGCGCACCCCCAGACUCAGGUCUCUCUGUUCCAAGCAAACCAAACGUGCUGUCUCGGGGUUGCGCUGCCUGUUCUGCCAGGAGGAGCAUGGAUUUGCCUUCUGUGUCCCUGGUGCCUGAGACCCCGGAUGUCCUCGAGUCCCUGACUGACUGCUGUGCCCUGCCCCCCGACCCAGUGCACCAGGUCUGCACGGCCGGGGGCCUCUGAGUCCCCUGGACUCUUGGCCUUACUCUUUGCCCCUGACCCUACACACCCGUGAGCCGAAAGAAUGUCACUAAAAAUGGCUAGUUCCCCAAGGGCGCUGCCUCUCCCGCCCUCCCCCUGUGGUGACACGGGUGUGCGUGCGCGGAGAUCACGUCCGAUGCUGGGAAAGAGCGUUUGAGGGACAGAAACGUGCUCUUCACUCAGCUUUUGCCCCUUUGGCAAAAAUGAGUGCUGCACGGAAGAAAGCAAGGGAGGGGAACAGGGGCGUGUGUCGCCCUCUUGGGAAGUGUACGACGUGGUGACUGCGUGCAAAUCAGGACUCACAUCUCUGUUCUGGUCCCCAGAACGAGAAGCCCCCUCAGCCUGCCUUGCAGACAGAUGGGCUUCACGUCCUGUGCCCCCUCCCCGCUCCUUCCACCCUCCCCUCUCUUGAAAGUGAAAGAAGCAGAGCCUCUCCCGGUGCCCCAGAGGCCUGCGGGGCCGGGGCCUUGUACCCGCCUGCUGACAGGCCGUCUGGUAGAGAAAUAAAGGUUGAGUG
rnacentral:lncRNA from 1 species